UCCGGCUCACAUAACAUCUGCUUCGCUACAAAAGUUGCAGAAAACAAGAUUUCUAAUAACUCGCCAAAAACCCGAUAACUUUUCAAUUGCACGAAAACAGACUGACUCCGUCCGUAGCCGCCAUGGGUGAUAAGACGACUCUGGGGUCAACCUUGGAGCCCUCGAACCAGGAAACGAUUGAGAACGGUCCAGCUUCGACGGGACACCUGUUUCUGGUGGUGAACGAAAUGACCAGGCGCGGCGGAAGAUGAUUUUGGCCGGGGGGACAAUCCUAAAAAUUCUCCAAGCCGCUCGCGCCUACGGCGCUCGCGAAACUACCCCACUGCAAAGUGCAAAAAGGCUAUCUUUUCUUAUUUUUCAUGCAUUUUUGCUAUUUUCAUGCCUUUUUGCUGGUGGAAUAUCUUA